rnacentral:miRNA from 3 species
UUGGCCACAAUGGGUUAGAAC